AGGUUGGAAAAGACGUUCCUACAAAGGUUUUGGACAGUGAUUUUAACCCUCAGCCAAAAACCUUAAACCUUACCCUAGCCCCAUAACCUAAUACCCGGGUAUUACCUUCAGGAAGCCCGAACACCCCAAAUAUAUAUUUUUUUCUUUUUUUUUUUUUUUUGGUCUAACUAACUCCAAAAGGUCUGAAACAUGUUCCUUAAAAAUAUUGGACAGUGAUUUUAACCCUUACGCCAAAAACCUUAAACCUAACCCUAGCCCCAUAACCUAAUACUUAAACCUGAAGGGUAUUACCUUCAGGAAGCCCGAACACCCCAAAUAUUUUUUUUUCAUUUUACAUUUUUUUUGGUGUAACCAACUCCAAAAGGUCUGAAUCUUGUUCCUUAAAAGGUUUUGGACAGUGAUUUUAACCCUAACGCCAAAAACCUUAAACCUUACCCUAGCCCCAAAACCUAAUACCCGGGUAUUACCUUCAGGAAGCCCGAACACCCCAAAUAUUUUUUUUUUCAUUUUACAUUUUUUUUGGUGUAACCAACUCCAAAAGGUCUGAAACAUGUUCCUAAAAAGGUUUUGGACAGUGAUUUUAACCCUUACGCCAAAAACCUUAAACCUUACCCUAGCCCCAUAACCUAAUACCCGGGUAUUACCUUCAGGAAGCCCGAACACCCCAAUUAUAUUUUUUUUUUUUUUCUUUUUUUUUGGUCUAACUAACUCCAAAAGGUCGAAAAGAGUUCCUACAAAGGUUUUGGACAGUGAUUUUAACCCUAACGCCAAAAACCUUAAACCUUACCCUAGCCCCAUAACCUAAUACCCGGGUAUUACCUUCAGGAAGCCCGAACACCCCAAAUAUAUUUUUUUUCAUUUUACUUUUUUUUUGGUGUAACCAACUCCAAAAGGUCUGAAACAUGUUCCUAAAAAGGUUUUGGACAGUGAUUUUAACCCUAACGCCAAAAACCUUAAACCUUACCCUAGCCCCAUAACCUAAUACCCGGGUAUUACCUUCAGGAAGCCCGAACACCCAAAAUAUUUUUUUUUCAUUUUCAUUUUUUUUUGGUCUAACUAACUCCAAAAGGUCUGAAAAGAUGUUCCUAAAAGGUUUUGGACAGUGAUUUUAACCCUAACGCCAAAAACCUUAAACCUUACCCUAGCCCCAUAACCUCAUACCCGGGUAUUACCUUCAGGAAGCCCGAACACCCCAAAUAUUUUUUUUUCAAUUUUCGUUUUUUUUUGGUCUAACUAACACCAAAAGGUUGGAAAAGAGGUCCUACAAAGGUUUUGGACAGUGAUUUUAACCCUAACGCCAAAAACCUUAAACCUUACCCUAGCCCCAAAACCUAAUACCCGGGUAUUACCUUCAGGAAGCCCGAACACCCCAAAUAUAUAUUUUUUUCAUUUUACAUUUUUUUUUGGUGUAACCAACUCCAAAAGGUCUUAAACAUGUUCCUAAAAAGGUUUUGGACAGUGAUUUUAACCCUAACGCCAAAAACCUUAAACCUUACCCUAGCCCCAUAACCUAAUACCCGGGUAUUACCUUCAGGAAGCCCGAACACCCCAAAUAUUUUUUUUUCAUUUAUCUUUUUUUUUUUGUCUAACUAACUCCAAAAGGUUGGAAAAGACUUCCUACAAAGGUUUUGGACAGUGAUUUUAACCCUCACGCCAAAAACCUUAAACCUUACCCUAGCCCCAUAACCUAAUACCCGGGUAUUACCUUCAGGAAGCCCGAACACCCCAAAUUUUUUUUUUUCAUUUUACAUUUUUUUUUGGUGUAACCAACUCCAAAAGGUCUGAAACAUGGUCCUCAAAAGGUUUUGGACAGUGAUUUUAACCCUAACGUCAAAAACCUUAAACCUUACCCUAGCCCCAAAACCUAUUACCUUCAGGAAGCCCGAACACCCCAAAUAUUUUUUUUUUUCAUUUUACAUUUUUUUUGGUGUAACCAACUCCAAAAGGUCUGAAACAUGUUCCUAAAAAGGUUUUGGACAGUGAUUUUAACCCUAACGCCAAAAACCUUAAACCUUACCCUAGCCCCAUACCCUAAUACCCGGGUAUUACCUUCAGGAAGCCCGAACACCCCAAAUAUUUUUUUUUCAUUCAUCUUUUUUUUUUUGUCUAACUAACUCCAAAAGGUUGGAAAAGACUUCCUACAAAGGUUUUGGACAGUGAUUUUAACCCUCAUGCCAAAAACCUUAAACCUUACCCUAGCCCCAUAACCUAAUACCCGGGUAUUACCUUCAGGAAGCCCGAACACCCCAAAUAUUUUUUUUUUUCAUUUUACAUUUUUUUUGGUGUAACCAACUCCAAAAGGUCUGAAACAUGUUCCUAAAAAGGUUUUGGACAGUGAUUUUAACCCUAACGCCAAAAACCUUAAACCUUACCCUAGCCCCAUAACCUAAUACCCGGGUAUUACCUUCAGGAAGCCCGAACACCCCAAAUAUAUUUUUUUUCAUUUUUUUUUUUUUUUUGGUCUAACUAACUCCAAAAGGUUGGAAAAGACUUCCUACAAAGGUUUUGGACAGUGAUUUUAACCCUCAUGCCAAAAACCUUAAACCUUAACCUAGCCCCAUAACCUAAUACCCGGGUAUUACCUUCAGGAAGCCCGAACACCCCAAAUAUAUAUUUUUUCAUUUUUCUUUUUUUUUUUGGUGUAACUAACUCCAAAAGGUCUGAAACAUGUUCCUUAAAAAAUAUUGGACAGUGAUUUUAACCCUUACGCCAAAAACCUUAAACCUUACCCUAGCCCCAUAACCUAAUACCCGGGUAUUACCUUCAGGAAGCCCGAACACCCCAAAUAUAUAUUUUUUUCAUUUUACAUUUUUUUUGGUGUAACCAACUCCAAAAGGUCUGAAUCUUGUUCCUUAAAAGGUUUUGGACAGUGAUUUUAACCCUAACGUCAAAAACCUUAAACCUUACCCUAGCCCCAAAACCUAAUACCCGGGUAUUACCUUCAGGGAACCCGAACACCCCAUAUAUUUUUUUUUCAUUUUACAUUUAUUUUUGGUGUUAACAACUCCAAAAGGUCUGAAACAUGUUCCUAAAAAGGUUUUGGACAGUGAUUUUAACCCUAACGCCAAAAACCUUAAACCUUACCCUAGCCCCAUAACCUCAUACCCGGGUAUUACCUUCAGGAAGCCCGAACACCCCAAUUAUAUUUUUUUCUUUUUUCUUUUUUUUUGGUCUAACUAACUCCAAAAGGUCAGAAAAGAGUUCCUACAAAGGUUUUGGACAGUGAUUUUAACCCUAACACCAAAAACCUUAAACCUUACCCUAGCCCCAAAACCUAAUACCCGGGUAUUACCUUCAGGAAGCCCGAACACCCCAAUUUUUUUUUUUUCAUUUUACAUUUUUUUUUUGGUGUAACCAACUCCAAAAGGUCUUAAACAUGUUCCUAAAAAGGUUUUGGACACUGAUUUUAACUCUAACUCCAAAAACCUUUAACCUUACCCUAGCCCCAUAACCUAAUACCCGGGUAUUACCUUCAGGAAGCUUGAACACCCCAAAUAUUUUUUUUUCAUUUUACAUUUUUUUUUGGUGUAACCAACUCCAAAAGGUCUGAAACAUGUUCCUAAAAAGGUUUUGGACAGUGAUUUUAACCCUAACGCCAAAUACCUUAAACCUAACCCUAGCCCCAAAACCUAAUACCCGGGUAUUACCUUCAGGAAGCCCAAAAACCCCAAUUUUUUUUUUUUUUCAUUUUACAUUUUUUUUUGGUGUAACCAACUCCAAAAGGUCUGAAACAUGGUCCUAAAAAGGUUUUGGACAGUGAUUUUAACCCUUACGCCAAAAACCUUAAACCUUACCCGGGUAUUACCUUCAGGAAGCCCGAACACCCCAAAUAUUUUUUUUUUCAUUUAUCUUUUUUUUUUGUCUAACUAACUCCAAAAGGAUGGAAAAGACUUCCUACAAAGGUUUUGGACAGUGAUUUUAACCCUCAUGCCAAAAACCUUAAACCUUAACCUAGCCCCAUAACCUAAUACCCGGGUAUUACCUUCAGGAAGCCCGAACACCCCAAAUAUAUAUUUUUUCAUUCAUCUUUUUUUUUUUUUUGGUCAAACUAGCUCCAAAAGGUCUGAAACAUGUUCCUUAAAAAAUAUUGGACAGUGAUUUUAACCCUUACGCCAAAAACCUUAAACCUAAUCCUAGCCCCAUAACCUAAUACUUAAACCUGAAGGGUAUUACCUUCAGGAAGCCCGAACACCCCAAAUAUUUUUUUUUUCAUUUUACAUUUUUUUUGGUGUAACCAACUCCAAAAGGUCUGAAUCUUGUUCCUUAAAAGGUUUUGGACAGUGAUUUUAACCCUAACGCCAAAAACCUUAAACCUUACCCUAGCCCCAUAACCUAAU